AGAGAUUCAGUUGAUUGAUCUUUUUAAUCUGUUGCAUUUGUUCUUCACAUCAGCUUACAGAUUGGGAGGAAUGACAUUUGAGAAAAUAUUAAAGACUCGAAUCAAGUCAAGCCACAGGUAGAGGUUGACUUGAAAUUGGCAACCAAAGAGCAUGAUGACCCAAUUUCAGAAGAGGCUCAGAUUGUAGAGGUUAAACCAGGAGCUGUUUGUGUGUAUAGGGAUCCAGAUGGGAAAAACGGUUAAGUCAUCACUCAACAUCCGAUCAAAAACAGGGUACUCUGUUUUGGUCAUCAGAGCAGCCGGCUUCGUCAGAACCCACAUCAGUGCCGCCUUGAAACGACUGCGUUGUAGGGUUAUAUAAUUUUAACAAUUAUCACAAUUCUACCCUCAAAAGGACUCGGCCACAAUUGUUUGAAAAAAGUGGGAUUUUUAUUGUGGAAGGGGGCAUAAAUGAUGCUGUUUUGCUGAACAACCUCUUUGAGGUACUACAUGGUAAUAUUGCUGGUUAUGUUGAUAUUCUUGAAGUCUGUAAAAAUGCAAACCCACAGCCUGCAAUUGCUGGUUAUGUCAGAAAAAAGACCGAACAGAUCAACCCCACCCGCAAGCCUAUACGCUGGUACGAAAAAAGCGGGUGAAGAAAUCUCGCAUACGUAUAAUCAUAUUUACGGGCUGUCGCUAACGGGUUUAAGGUUCUUUAUGGUUUAUGGACCGUGGGGUAGAAGUUUGGCUGUAAACCAACGACAGAUCUUCAAAUGGGGUUGAAGACAUUUGUUAGAUGUUGGGGAAUCGUUGCAUCUGUUUGAGGAAUAAAACUACUAGGCAAUGCAAAAGAUGGCACUUGGAGGGGCCAUCUAAAAUCUAAAGGCUAAAACUCACAGACAUCAAGAUUGACAUUAAAAGGGUCCCUAAAAAGAAAACCAUGGUUACUGGUAUAGAUUUGAAGAACAAGUGAAAGAACAAUUCUAAGGGAAGAAAGAUUAUCUUCUAAUUUUUAUAUUCUUGAAAAAAAGGGUACAACUUGAACUUAUUAUUAGUUAAAAAAAGUGUGUUAUUUACAUGUCGGUUAGCAUCCAGAUUUUGAAAGCUCAAGAUGGCUGUUCAUUGUGAGGAAAAAUGGAGAAACGUGGAUUUGACGAGUUCAUUUCAUCAUUUGCAACAUCUUCAGCCAUUGUUUAUAGUUAUUACUUCAACUGGGAGCUCUGUGUGUAAUAGGGAUCUUGGAGCGGACCUUGUUGAAAAAACAAGACGGGCCAAGAUCUGAUAAGAAACAGGGUACUUUGUUUUAGUCACUGAUGCCGCCGGCUUCGUGGGACCCAUGUCAGCAUCGUCUUGAAGUGCCCACGGUGUUUUAGGGUUGCAUAAUUUUAAUGAUUGUUACGAUCCUACCCUCAAAAGGGCUCGUCAACAUUUGUUGGAAAAACGUGGGAUUUUAAUAAUUGUUACGCUCCAAUGAAGAAAGCCAGUGAGGAAAUUGCGCAUACGUAUAAUCAUAUUUACAGGUUGUCUUUAACGGGUUUAAGGUUUUUAUGGUUUAUGGACCGUGGGGUGAUAUGACUUAUUUUUUCUUUACAAAAGAUAUCUUGAAAGGAAAAUCGAUACCUGUCUUUACAGGUCAUGUCUACUUUAUUUAUCAAUUCUUAUAAGAUAUUGUAACAUGAAUAGAUACCUUUCAAGUUAUUACCAAGUGAAUUACAUCUUUC